rnacentral:misc_RNA from 1 species
AACGCACCUUGCGCUCCUUGGUAUUCCGAGGAGCAUGCCUGUUCGAGUGUCAUGAAACUCUCAAACCGUCAUCUUUUAUGGAUGUUCGGGCUUGGAUUUGGAUGUUGCUGGGUCUAACGGCUCGGCUCGUCUUAAAAGCAUUAGCUGUCUCUCACGACUUCAGUUAACGGUGUGAUAAUUACAUCUACGCCGAAGCCUUCGGGCGCUGAGUCGGGUUAAAGCGGCUUCUAACCGUCUUCGGACAAUUUCAUUUCACAUCUGGCCUCGAAUCAGGUAGGACUACCCGCUGAACUUAA